rnacentral:lncRNA from 1 species
AAAAGGAUGGGAGGGGACGAAUGGGUAGAACACGGUAUCUUUAGGGCACUGAAAUAUUCUGCAUGGUAAAUUUGGUGGAUAUAUGAAAUCACACUUUUGUUCAAAGCCAUCGAAUGCACAACACCAAGCGUGAAUCCUAAUGUAAACUAUGUACUUUAUGGGUGUGAAUCCUUAUGUAAACUCUGAGGAUUAUGAUGUGUCAGUGUGGGUUCAUUAGUUGUAAGAAAUGCGGCACGGUGUGGGGGGGUGAUGUUGAUAAUGGGGCCUGCAUGUGUGGGGUCAGAGGGUAGAUGGGAGAUCUCUAUCUUCCGUUCAGUUUUGCUGUGAACUUAAAACUGCUCUAAAAAUAGACUAUUGAAAAAAAGCAACUAUCUCUUAGAGGCAUCCCCAUGCAGGAAAUUACCCAAGGGACCUGUGAAGGUUUUAACUGUGAGCGAAGGUACUCAACAGAUCUCAGGAAUGGAGGGAAUGAAGAUGACUGCUCUUUGAUGGGUUAUUCAGGGUUAUUUCAGGCCACUUUGGAAAUUCACCCAGGAUGUUUCAGUUGGUGCAGAUUUCAGAUACAUCAUUGCUUCAGAUGAAUGGCCAUCACCCCAAAACCACUGCCCAUCUCAACUCAUCCUUCCUUGGGAUUUUCAGCUGCACUUCAUCAUAUAUCAUCACCUGUUAGCUGGUGCUGGCCACCCCACCUCACACUUCAUCACUUCUUGCAUUCUUUGUGAGUUCUUUGCUCUGUUACAGAAUCUGUCUCCUUUGUUCACUAAUUCAUUAUGUACAAGACAAAUAUAAAUUAAUCAGACUUAAUUGGUAUUUAGAUUAAGAUUAAAGAUUUAGAUUUAAGAUUAAGUUGUUUCUAAUUUAUCAAAACAAGACAAUGGCACAUUAUAAAAAGGAAUUAUUUCUAUGAUAAAAUGUGGUCAAGGAAGGGUUAUAUGUAAUAUUACAUACUUUCUGUGCUUUUAGUUCUCUUUAUAUUGACUCUAUAAACUUGAGCAGGGAACUUACCACUAGGCAACUUUGUUCCAUUAAACUGAAAGUAAUGGAGAUAUUUGCCACUGCCCUGUUGAGGUGUCAGCAUUAUGAGUUGGACAUGUGGCUUUUGGUGAUGUUCACUUGAGCAGAUUUUCAUUUUGAGUACAUUUCACCAUAGUGAGUGCCAUUUUCUUGUGUGUGGGGGUCAUCUUUUUACCUUAAACAACUAAGUAAUUUCUCUCAUUCUGACUGACCAGUCCGGGCUGAAUGUUUGUGAACUAAUUUGAAUUAUCUGAAAGAAAAUCUCUAAAAAAAGAAAGUACUGUUGUUACAUGGUUUACUAUUGAUAUAAGUAGAUUUUCCUGAGUGAAUUAUCCCUUCAAGAUUUUUGAUAUAAAGUUUC